GUUUAUUCUGGUGCAGUACCAGAUAGCUUACAAAGUUGAUGACCAAUACCUAAUAAACUAUUAUCUUUAAAACCAAUAAAAGUACAAGAAUAUAAGUUUUUUAUUAAAAUUUUUUUCAAAGUCCUCGAUGGUUCACUUGAUUUAGGAGUUAAAGGAGUACUGUUGCUAGUGUAAAUGGCUGAUGAUGACUUAUUGGUAAAACAUGUGUCAAACUCAUUUCUUGGUGGAGAAAUAUUGUUAGAAUAAUAUUGCUGUUUUAAUUAACGAAUUGUGACUGAUCAAUAGUUUAAACAUGAAUUAUUAUUAACUGUACAAUAAAAUAUAAUGACUGAAAGAUAAUAUACACACUAAAAUAGUCUAGACAUAGUGUAAUUAAAAAAAAAAAAAAAAAGUUACUUUUCUUUUGAAAAUUCAAUUUAAUUUUUUGUUUCUUAGAAAAUGUAGAGUAUACCUCAACCUUAUCUUUAAGAAGGAUAUUAUCAUCAUCAAAAUGAGAAAAGUGAUAUUGUUCUAAUGACUAUUUUGAUUUAAAUUUUGAUCUUUGUCUACAUUCUCUUUCU